rnacentral:rRNA from 1 species
GACAGAGGGUGCAAACGUUGCUCGGAAUUACUGGGCGUAAAGCGCACGUAGGCGGACAUUUAAGUCAGGGGUGAAAUCCUGGAGCUCAACUCCAGAACUGCCUUUGAUACUGAGGAUCUUGAGUUCGGGAGAGGUGAGUGGAAUUGCGAGUGUAGAGGUGAAAUUCGUAGAUAUUCGCAGGAACACCAGUGGCGAAGGCGGCUCACUGGCUCGAUACUGACGCUGAGGUGCGAAAGCGUGGGGAGCAAACAGG